rnacentral:rRNA from 1 species
UACGUAGGGUGCAAGCGUUGUCCGGAAUUAUUGGGCGUAAAGAGCUCGUAGGCGGUCUGUCACGUCGGACGUGAAAAUCCAGGGCUCAACCCUGGACCUGCGUUCGAUACGGGCAGACUAGAGUUCGGUAGGGGAGACUGGAAUUCCUGGUGUAGCGGUGAAAUGCGCAGAUAUCAGGAGGAACACCGGUGGCGAAGGCGGUUCUCUGGGCCUGUACUGACGCUGAGGAACGAAAGCGUGGGGAGCGAACAGG